GAAUUUUAUAUGUAAACAAUCUGCAAUAUUUGGCAAUAUGUUUUUUGCUUCCUGUGUGUGGAAUUGUUUUGGUAGCAAUAAGAGCAUUGAAAAGUCGAAAGCUCAAGAGAAUAAAUCGACUCUCGGUGUCGGUCAGUGAUGGAGGUAUUUUCCCCGCGUUUUACAGUUAGAGACGUCGGUUAAUCGUUCGAUUAAUUCAUAUAAUCGAAUAUCUGCAUCAGUAAUUUUAUAUCGAAUAAUGAAAAAUCAAGAAAACAGUGCAAAACUUGUUUAACCGUCAUGGUGUUUCGUCGAAAUUCUUCGAAUAUGCUAAAUCAUUUACGGUUGAAGCAUGAAAAUGAUUCCUUGGUGGUGGAAGAAACUGGGAAGAAUUCAGGGUCUCAGGAGUAAAAUGCGGACUUGAAGAAGGUGGUCUCAGCCCAAUGGUCCCGUUCUAAAAUAGUAGUAUUCAAAUUCAGAGUGCCAAGGGAAAUAUACCAUACUAGUGGUCAAUGAUUCUAUAAAUAUACUUCUUUAGAACCAGUAGUUAUAGGGAUCAAGCAGAAAUAUUCAAA